rnacentral:lncRNA from 1 species
UCACUGGCGUCAACGUGAUGAUCGUAACUGCAGUUACGAUCAUCCCAAUAUGGUGGACACAAAUAUAGGGAAAUUUUAUAAGGCUGAUUACUCAACUUUAACAGGUUAUUUUCAGAUAUGUAUUAUUUCAAGAAACAUCUUUAUAAGCAUUGCCAAUGAAAUAUUUUUUCGGACUGGAUGGAAAAGCAACAAGAAGAAUGAAAAUCGAGAUACAAAAAAUCACGAUGAUGAUCGUAACUUUUAUUUAUUUUUAUAAACGAUGAUCGUAACUUGUACUUAAGAUGAUCGUAACUGUUUGUUCCAACGGAGCAUUUUCUGAUAAAUAAGGACAAAUAAAGCUGUCUAGUAUGCGACAAAAUGUACGUUAUCAGCUGAUAUUGUGAUAAUAAUGACGAACGAUCAUAGAGGGGAGGAUAACGUCCUAUUGGUAAGCGCACAAAUGGUUAUGACUUCGCGAGAUUUGGUAUUUCUUAUUUAUCUAGUUCAAUAUUAAAAUGCAUUGGGGGUUAACACAACUUUAUAUUGAUUUCAUAUGUUUUAUAUAAAUAAGGUAUUGGACAGUUCAUAUUAAUGACCAGUUUGUUAAAAUUGAAGUUUUUAUUUUAUUUUU